AUGGACUACCAACCGAUCAUAUCGGCACUGGACGUUCGCGUUGAACCCAUCACUGCCGAUGCUCUUUUCUCCUUGAUGGCCAACUUCGACCGGAGGGUCGAGAUGUUCCACGGGAACGAUGCCGGGGGCUUCAAAUCCUCGGCCAACCUUGCUUCCAUGGGGCGCGGCAGCAGCAAGGGAUCCUACCGCAACCAGAAGGGCGGUGGUGGCUCGCGUGGUGGCUACUGUGCUAGCAGCGGUGGUGGCGACUACAACCCUGGCGGCGGCGACGGCUACAACCCCGGCGGCGGAUCUGGUGGCUCUGCCACUGGAAACAGUGCCAGGAACGGUGGCGGCUAUCAUGGCGGAUACCCUGGUGGUGGCGGCGGCUACUACCAGGGGGUGGUGGCGGCGGCCAUUACCAGCAGCAUCCUGGCGGCAACAACAACGGGAAGGCCCCUCCUAACAAAGGGAGAAACUUUCAGGGCUAUGAAGGUUAUGAGGGUAAAUGUCAAAUAUGCAAAAAAAAACUAA
rnacentral:rRNA from 1 species